rnacentral:lncRNA from 1 species
UAGGGGAUGAAGUCACAGUAUUGGGACCCAGGUCAUAGAGAGCCCUGGAAGGCAUUUUAAGGACUUGGACUUUGAGGAAAAUGAGAAACCAUUGGCCAGUUUGGGGUAUUGGGAGAAGGAGAGGCUGUCAACCCAUGCCACUAUGCUAUCUCUAAUUCUGCCAUCCAGACCGAGCAAACGUACUUAAGACCUUUGUGUAAGAUCAGAAAAUCAUAAGACAGCAUUAAAAAGUACUAUACAGGAGGAGAUGGAACAAGAUGGCCAAAUAGAAGCCUCCAGCAAUCAUCUCCCCGAAAGGAAUUGAACAACUAUCAAAACAAAAUUGAACAACUAUCUAAACAAAAAAGUACCUUCAUAAAAAACAAAAAUCAGGACAAUAUCAGAACGGCACAUACAAGUGUCCCCAAGUCAUAUUUGGAAUAAGAUCACUUGGGAACACAAGUCAAAGAAGGACACAGUGUUCUGCCUCUCCUGAGUAAGCAGCAACAACGCACCAUCUUGGAAUCAGGGGACGGCCCUCACCAGACAACUAAAUCUGCAGACACCUUGGACUUCCCAGCCUCCAGAACUGUCUUUCUGGCAACUGUCUAAACAUAAACCAGAGAAGGGCAAGGCAGACUCAGGAAGGACAAAUAGAAGGCUAUUUUCAUAAAUCGGACCACCACCACAUGUGCAGCAUCCCUCUGGGUCUCUUCCAUGACAACCCUGUGGGAAGCCAGCUUGGCAGGUCACCUUGUUCUAGCAGAUAGAAACUGAAUCAAUAUGGGAAGAGCCAGAAUUUGGACAAGGUUCACCAAACAUUCACACUGAUGCCAGGUGGGCCAAGAAAAAGGGAAUGUCCUGCCUCUGAGAAACUCAUCAUACAGUUUGGAGAUAACAUUUGUUGAAGGAGAGAAGAAAAGAGGAGAGAGGAAUGGAGUGAGGCAGAAAGGAAAUGAUGACGAGCUACUCUUCAAAAUUAAGCUGGAUAACAACAAGAAAUUCUAGAAAGCAAUUGAGGCAACCUCCACCCUAAGACCCAGGUAAACCCUACAUUUAAAGUGCUGUUCUGGGGCACAGUGAAAGAUUUCUGCCAGAAAAUUUGCUCCCUAGGAUUUACAUGAUGAUGAGAUUACAUGCUGCCUUGUGGCAACAAAAUCAAAAGUCUGUAAAAGAAAAAGCGUGCUAUGCUUCUGAAUGUUUGGAGAUCCUACAAUAGAUUUUUCAUUCAGCUAUUUUGUUGCUGCUUCAUGAGCACA